GGGCGUUAAGUUGCAGGGUAUAGACCCGAAACCCGGUGAUCUAGCCAUGGGCAGGUUGAAGGUUGGGUAACACUAACUGGAGGACCGAACCGACUAAUGUUGAAAAAUUAGCGGAUGACCUGUGGCUGGGGGUGAAAGGCCAAUCAAACCGGGAGAUAGCUGGUUCUCCCCGAAAGCUAUUUAGGUAGCGCCUCGUGAAUUCAUCUCCGGGGGUAGAGCACUGUUUCGGCUAGGGGGCCAUCCCGGCUUACCAACCCGAUGCAAACUGCGAAUACCGGAGAAUGUUAUCACGGGAGACACACGGCGGGUGCUAACGUCCGUCGUGAAGAGGGAAACAACCCAGACCGCCAGCUAAGGUCCCAAAGUCAUGGUUAAGUGGGAAACGAUGUGGGAAGGCCCAGACAGCCAGGAUGUUGGCUUAGAAGCAGCCAUCAUUUAAAGAAAGCGUAAUAGCUCACUGGUCGAGUCGGCCUGCGCGGAAGAUGUAACGGGGCUAAACCAUGCACCGAAGCUGCGGCAGCGAACGUAUCACUUAAAGCGAUUCAGCGGGUUACGAUUGACGGAGCGAAGCGACGUCAAAGCGUAUACAAAGUCGAGUCGGUUUAAGGAUACGUUCGUUGGGUAGGGGAGCGUUCUGUAAGCCUGYGAAGGUGKSCUGUGAGGSWUGCUGGAGGUAUCAGAAGUGCGAAUGCUGACAUAAGUAACGAUAAAGCGGGUGAAAAGCCCGCUCGCCGGAAGACCAAGGGUUCCUGUCCAACGUUAAUCGGGGCAGGGUGAGUCGACCCCUAAGGCGAGGCCGAAAGGCGUAGUCGAUGGGAAACGGGUUAAUAUUCCCGUACUUGGUGUUACUGCGAAGGGGGGACGGAGAAGGCUAUGUUGGCCGGGCGACGGUUGUCCCGGUUUAAGCGUGUAGGUGUGUGUUCCAGGUAAAUCCGGUUCACUUUAACACUGAGGCGUGAYGACGAGGCACUACGGUGCUGAAGCAACAAAUGCCCUGCUUCCAGGAAAAGCCUCUAAGCAUCAGGUAACAUCAAAUCGUACCCCAAACCGACACAGGUGGUCAGGUAGAGAAUACCAAGGCGCUUGAGAGAACUCGGGUGAAGGAACUAGGCAAAAUGGUGCCGUAACUUCGGGAGAAGGCACGCUGACACGUAGGUGAAGUGAUUUACUCAYGGAGCUGAAGUCAGUCGAAGAUACCAGCUGGCUGCAACUGUUUAUUAAAAACACAGCACUGUGCAAACACGAAAGUGGACGUAUACGGUGUGACGCCUGCCCGGUGCCGGAAGGUUAAUUGAUGGGGUCAGCGCAAGCGAAGCUCCUGAUCGAAGCCCCGGUAAACGGCGGCCGUAACUAUAACGGUCCUAAGGUAGCGAAAUUCCUUGUCGGGUAAGUUCCGACCUGCACGAAUGGCGUAAUGAUGGCCAGGCUGUCUCCACCCGAGACUCAGUGAAAUUGAACUCGCUGUGAAGAUGCAGUGUACCCGCGGCAAGACGGAAAGACCCCGUGAACCUUUACUAUAGCUUGACACUGAACAUUGAGCCUUGAUGUGUAGGAUAGGUGGGAGGCUUUGAAGUGUGGACGCCAGUCUGCAUGGAGCCGRCCUUGAAAUACCACCCUUUAAUGUUUGAUGUUCUAACGUGGACCCGUGAUCCGGGUUGCGGACAGUGUCUGGUGGGUAGUUUGACUGGGGCGGUCUCCUCCUAAAGAGUAACGGAGGAGCACGAAGGUUGGCUAAUCCUGGUCGGACAUCAGGAGGUUAGUGCAAUGGCAUAAGCCAGCUUGACUGCGAGCGUGACGGCGCGAGCAGGUGCGAAAGCAGGUCAUAGUGAUCCGGUGGUUCUGAAUGGAAGGGCCAUCGCUCAACGGAUAAAAGGUACUCCGGGGAUAACAGGCUGAUACCGCCCAAGAGUUCAUAUCGACGGCGGUGUUUGGCACCUCGAUGUCGGCUCAUCACAUCCUGGGGCUGAAGUAGGUCCCAAGGGUAUGGCUGUUCGCCAUUUAAAGUGGUACGCGAGCUGGGUUUAGAACGUCGUGAGACAGUUCGGUCCCUAUCUGCCGUGGGCGCUGGAGAACUGAGGGGGGCUGCUCCUAGUACGAGAGGACCGGAGUGGACGCAUCACUGGUGUUCGGGUUGUCAUGCCAAUGGCACUGCCCGGUAGCUAAAUGCGGAAGAGAUAAGUGCUGAAAGCAUCUAAGCACGAAACUUGCCCCGAGAUGAGUUCUCCCUGAGACUU
rnacentral:rRNA from 1 species